UCAGGUGUGGCCCAUCCAGCCCCUCAGUGUUUUCCUCGGUCCUGGGGAUGCUCAGGUGUGGUCCAUCCAGCCCCUCAGUGUUUCCCUCGGUCCUGAGGAUGCUCAGUCUUCCCACACAGGUUGAGAGAGGAGGGGAUCCAAUUGCCUGUGAGGAGGACACGGCUCCUGGGUGGACCCUGCAGAUUGUGAAGUUCAAGUCACAGCUCCUGGGAAGGUCUCUGUGUGUAAAGAUCGUGGGGGUGAGACAGAUUCAGGGACCACACUCUGCUCUGCUCUGUACCUCUGAGUGUCGAUCCAGCUGCCUUGUGACCAGGACACUUAGAAGAAGCAUGGACCCUGCAAGAGGAUGGGCUCAAGGACAGCUUGCCUGACUGCAGCCAUAAGGAUGAAGCCUCUUCAGGUAGAGAAGGACUCCAGAUUGAAAUGAAAACCACAACAAAACCCAUGACUGGAAGCCAUCCCCGAUAAGUCUUCUGCGGCCAGCUUCCUGUGGUGAGCCUCCCCAUCAAGGGUAACUGCAGCCUCCUUGGAAAUAAAGGAGAUCAGGACUC
rnacentral:lncRNA from 1 species